GCGGGUAUAGCUCAGUGGUAGAGUGCCUGCUUAGCAUGCACAAGGUCCUGGGUUCAAUCCCCGGUACCCCCA
rnacentral:tRNA from 1 species